UACGAAGGGGGCUAGCGUUGUUCGGAUUUACUGGGCGUAAAGCGCACGUAGGCGGGUCGUUAAGUCGAGGGUGAAAUCCUGGAGCUCAACUCCAGAACUGCCUUCGAUACUGGCGACCUAGAGUCCGGAAGAGGUGAGUGGAAUUCCGAGUGUAGAGGUGAAAUUCGUAGAUAUUCGGAAGAAACACCAGUGGCGAAGGCGACUCACUGGACAGGUAUUGACGCUGAGGUGCGAAAAGCGUGGGGAGCAAACAGGG
rnacentral:rRNA from 1 species